GCAAGUCGAACGAGAAAGCUACUUCGGUGGUUAUUACAGUGGCGCACGGGUGAGUAACGCGUAGAUGAUGUGACUUUUAGUGGGGGACAACCUCGUGAAAACGGGGCUAAUACCGCAUAAGCUUAACGACAUUGAAAAAGUGAAGGAAAGGGGGCUUCGGCUCACGCUAGAAGAUCGGUCUGCGUAGGAUUAGCUAGUUGGUGGGGUAAUGGCCUACCAAGGCGACGAUGCUUAACUGGUCUGAGAGGAUGAUC
rnacentral:rRNA from 1 species